GAAAAUAAAACUACCACUGCCAGAAUGAACAACUUUAAAGAAUAUUGCACACUAAUCAACUGAGGAUAUUAUUUCUUCAUAUUCAUCAUACAUGAUUAAUAUUUUUGUGAUACUGUGUUUGUUACACUAACUUAGCUAAUAAUAUUGAUGCAAAAUGACAAUUAAGACACUGUGUCCAGUAAAAUUGUUAAGAUUCUUUUUCUUCAUAUUUGUCCAAAGAUGUAUUGGAGGGUGUUUGCUUCUUAAAAUCUAUUAAGUAAAUUAUUUUACUUUUUAUCAGGAACUAUCUGACUCUAAUGGUAUUGAUAAUCUAAUGGACAAAAGAUCCCUUGGUUAUGCAUAUAGGAGUCGAGAAGGAGAUGUCGAACGGACUCUAAAGACGGUCGAAACAGGAGUAGGUGGCAGGCAACCACACUGCUAAAGUGAGAAUUCUAAUCUAUAUCUCAAGUUUGUGGACUAAAUGCUGUUUGGUUCUCAAUGUAGGCAUAUUCAGAAAUAUUUUUGCCUUUUCAUUGAUCAAAGUAUGCUUUUUAUUCCGGAAUUAGAAGUCUGGACUAAACCCAAUAGUGAAAAAUAUCACCCAAUGUAUAGAUCUUCUCUAAACUAUUUUAAAGAAAAUUAGCUCUUCCCAUUUUCUUUGGUAACUAGAGUGGCCUUUUUGGUUAAAGAUAAACAGCUUCUACACAGUAUAUGAUGGUGCAUGCAUCUUUUUUUCCGAAUAUGACAUUGUGUACUAUUGUACUGUUGCACUUUCUAUAUGAUGCAUUAGCAAUUAUCUAAAUCUUGCAAGCCUUAAAAAGAUAGGCAAUCGUUCCUUCAUUAUUUUGCAGAAGUACCACUUGAAUCAUCA
rnacentral:lncRNA from 1 species